rnacentral:rRNA from 1 species
GAUGAACGCUGGCGGCGUGCCUAAUACAUGCAAGUCGAGCGAACAGAUAAGGAGCUUGCUCCUUUGACGUUAGCGGCGGACGGGUGAGUAACACGUGGAUAACCUACCUAUAAGACUGGGAUAACUUCGGGAAACCGGAGCUAAUACCGGAUAACAUAUUGAACCGCAUGGUUCAAUAGUGAAAGGCGGCUUUGCUGUCACUUAUAGAUGGAUCCGCGCCGUAUUAGCUAGUUGGUAAGGUAACGGCUUACCAAGGCAACGAUACGUAGCCGACCUGAGAGGGUGAUCGGCCACACUGGAACUGAGACACGGUCCAGACUCCUACGGGAGGUAGCAGUAGGGAAUCUUCCGCAAUGGGCGAAAGCCUGACGGAGCAACGCCGCGUGAGUGAUGAAGGUCUUCGGAUCGUAAAACUCUGUUAUCAGGGAAGAACAAAUGUGUAAGUAACUGUGCACAUCUUGACGGUACCUGAUCAGAAAGCCACGGCUAACUACGUG